AUAGGUCUCUAUACAUUAGUGUGUAUAUUUGUAUCUGUAGUUUGUAGUAAUUUUUCCGGUGCUCUCAGACGAAUGUAAACGGUAUGGAACUACUCCAAGACACAGUUUGUCAUAUUUUGGAUAGCAACAACAACUACAACACACAUGGUGCUCUGUUUAAUUUUUUGUUUGAUUUUGAUUGAAAAAUAUUGGUUUUUUAGAAAUUGAGUUCUUAUAGCCAGGCAUAUAUAUGAUCGUGUGUGUCUGGAUAUAUGCAUAUAUAGGCAUGUUAUUUGAUGUGUGUAUGUGUGUCUGUGUAUAUAUAUGGAUGCACAUUAGUUUGUGUGUGUAUGUGUACAUGUAUUGUCAUGUCUAAAAGUAUGUAAGCGUAUAUGUAGGCCUGUAUGUGUGUGUAUAUAUGUAUAUAUAAAUAAAAUGUAUGGAAGUAUGUAUACAUGAGUGCGUGUAUAUAUAUAUAUGUAUAUAUAUAGACUGUUCUAUGAGCACACAUGCAUUGAAGUACAUAUGCAAUGUCACUGUUAUUAUUAUUAUUAUCAUUAAUAAUAAUUUUGAAAACAAAAGAAAAAGACUUUAAUCCAAAGAAUUCGAUUUGGUGGCACUAAAUACCAGGUGACGUGAUUUGGUAAUUGAAGAAUUUCCAUUCGUUUAACUGUAUAAUUACUAUUGUUAAUACAACUUCAAAUUUCUGUUUC